AUGAAAAUUUCCACAAGAAAAUUGGUGCAGUCAAUCACAAACUCCCCUGGAAAAGUCUUUGAAAUGUUGCACACGAUUCUUCUGAUCAGGAUCGAGCCAGCCCCAUAUAUAUCCACAUACACCAUCGCGUUGCUAACAGUGGGCAAGCGUGGGAGCCUUGCAGCAGGUUGCCUCUCCAAACCUAUACAAGCAAAAGCGAACGAGUGAGGAGCAUGGCGUCUCAUGAUAGUCGAAGAAGAAGAAGAGGACUUGCCGUUCUCGCUUUCGUUGCCUCCAUGUUCUGGUUGCUGGCAUCGCAGUCCAUUUGCGACGGCCGAGUGUUGAACUACUCGAUUGAUCCGAGCUUGUGGUUGGCGCUUCUUC